GUAUGUAAGAAUUCCCUAUAAUACUUAGUCAUCUAGGCUGGAAAUGUGUUUCUGUCAUACCAUACUUCUUUCAUAUAUAAAAAUGAAUGACAAAAAUUUCUUAAAAGUGCAAUACAAUCAAAUUUUCUUCACAGGUCGUAUUUUUUUCUGCAUACAUCAAUAACACAUACUUAUACUUUACCCUGUUUCAUUUUUGUUAUUAGGGCAUUAAAACACUCAUCAAAUUUAACUGUAUGGCCAUUUUUGUACUGUAAUAAUUUUUGUUAUUAGGGCAUCCGGUGAGCAGAGACGAAGACUGGACUCCUUCAGUACUGUGUCUCUUCGGAGAAUCCCUGGGUACUGCUGGUUUGACUUCGUGUCAAAUUAGUGGUUGCCAGAGGAGUCCCAAAUGAGGCAAAUUGAUUGCAUUGUGAGGAAGCAUCAGUUAAGGCACUAUGGCCAUGUGGCAUGUUUCCCUGUGGGUGAUCUGGCUCAUGGGAUCCUCAUUGCUGGGGACCCAAGCAGCUGGACCAGACCGAGGUGACGCCCACGUAAAACUUGCGUACGGCAGAUGAAUGGCCAUUUCUGGAGGGUGGGACUGGACCGUAUGUCUGCCUGGGGAGUCGCCGGCUGGGAUCCCCAGGAGUUUUGUCAUGUGGUGGGUGUGGCAACGCGCCACAAAAGGGACAUUAGUGUGGCAUUUAGGGCUAAACAUUAAUCUUAUGUGUCAUUCCAUCUGUUUAAAAGAUACAGUUUACUUAUCUCGAUUUAGUUUUAAGAAGAUACUUAUAUCCACCUACCCUCUGGAUCCAGUCACUUCCACAAUGCUCCAGAUAAUCUCUCCCACCAAUCAGACCUGCUCAGACCUUCUCCCCUUCAUCACCACAGUAAUUAAUAGCUCCAUAACAUCUGUUAUGUUACUUGGUGAUAUUUGUAUUAGGUGCCCCCUAGUGGCCCCUUUAAAAUCUGCAGCCAGUUUGGUUCAUGUUACUUCUUAGUGGUUGUGUGUGAUCACAUGGGUAAGGUUAUAGUUCAGACAGGACAUUUUGUUGGAAGGUUUCACACAGCAUAGCACACUGUCUAAUCCUUUGCAUCCACCUGUGUUGAGACUUGGAGAAGCUUUGUUUGUAAGUUAUAUUUGUAUGUCUUUGUUAAUGAUUAAAGAUUAAUAUAUAUUUGUGAUAUUGUUUUAUAUUUGAGGAAAUGUAUGGAUAAUUAUCCAAACCUUAUUUUGAUAUGUGUAUGUAGCAUUAAGUAAGUGUUACACUGUUGAUUGAUGAAACCCUUUAUUGCUGUUGCAAUAUACCAUGUCACUAGUCACGAGUACCAGCGAAAAAACUGGCCAUCAACUCGACCAUACAUAUACACAAACAUCACAGUAGGGGGUAGACCGGUCGGGAGACAGAGGAAGAGAGAAGAAAAGAAACAGAGUAACAUGAGGAGAGAGGAGGAGAAUAAAAAAACAGCCCCCAGACUGUACUCCAGUGGGGAGGACAUUGUGGGAACCGAAAAAAACACCUCAGCAACAUAAGCACAUGGUCACUACGCCUUACAACAUAAAAAUGACACGACUUGCAACGGGUGAGGGAAAAGGGGUGGUGGAGGUAGUCCAGCAGAGACAGACAGCCAUCCGGUCCUGCAGCCAUGGAGGCGCUGGUCAACAGACCCGCCUGUUCACGCUGGGGGUAUGAAGCGGCGAAGGCGUUGGAUGGGGGGGAGGGAGCGGUAAGUCCUUGGGAUCGGGGGAGAGGAAUGCAAGAGAGUCUCACUGCCUUGUUCUUCAGGGGGAGUUGUUAGUUCAGCAGCGGCCUUGGCCGAGGCAAGUGCUGAUUGGGGGGAGCCAAAACCUGAUAGACUAGGGUUGUUUGGGUUUCCGUACGAGAAGCUGUAAUUUCCAGCUCCACUAAUGUCCACGCUAAUGUCCACGCUGGUCUCUGCCAUCCAAUAAGUUUUGCAAAGCUGUGAGCUUCUCCAUGAUGUUAUCCAGUUUGCGAUCCGUAGUCACUGUGAUGUUAUCCAGUUUCCGAUCAAUUGUCACAGUCUGAGUGCUAACAGCUCUGCCCACUCCAUCAAUCAUUCCAGCCAGCCUAGUGGGGCUUUGAGCUGUUAAGGGUUCAUUUAACUUUGAGAUAAUUUGUGUAUUUACUGUCUCACAAGAAAGUGCUAGAAACAAUGUAAGAAAGCUUUGAUGAAGACUAACAAGUAAACAGCGCUCAACUUUGCUUCAACGUCUGAGUCAUCAUUUAAUCCUUACAGUGGCCAGCAUGACUGUUUAGCUAUCUGUCACUUAAUGCAAGCUACGCAAGCAGAGGACAGAAUAACAUCUGGUCAUGUACCGAUGGCAUUCCAAAAAACCAAGGUUAUUCCCACCCUGAAGAAACCCACACUGAAUCCCUCAGACAUCACCAGCUACAGACCAGUAUUACUUCUCUGUUGUCUUUCAAAAGUCCUUGAAUAUGCAGUUUACAAUCAGCUCUUUCUCUCAAAACAGCCUCCAUGAUCCUAAGCAAUCUGGCUUCAAAGUGGCACAUUUCACAGAGACUGCUCUCUUGGCUGUCACCGAGAAGCUUCAUGCUGCCAGAGCAGCCAAACUGUCAUCUGUCCUCAUCCUCCAUGACCUUUCAGCAGCAUUCCACAUGGUCAUCCACAAGAUUCUGCUGUCCAUCCUUAGGAGUCUUGAAAUUCGUGGCUCAGCAUGAGAAUGGUUUGCUUCCAGCCUAGAAGACUGGUCAUAUCAAGUGACUUGGAAGGGAUCCACAUCUACUCGCCUGGUGUCCCUCAGUUCUUGGUCCUCUUCUGUUCUCUCUCUAUACUAGAUCUCUUGGUGAGGUCAUAUCCUCACAUGGGUUUUCAUCACUACUAUGCAGACGACAUCCUUUCCUUUCGUCUCUCAGACACUCAACUCUGAUCUCUGCAUGUCUGGCAGACAUCUCAUCAUGGAUGACAGCUCAUCAGCUGAAACAUAAUCCCAGCAAAGCUGAACUGCUAUUCAUCCCAGCUGAUCCAUCCCCACACCAGGAUCUUGCAGUCUCCCUGGACACCUCUCUGAUUUGUUCUUUGGUCACCGCCCAUUACCAUGGGGUAACCAUGGACAAUCACCUGUCAUUUUCCUCUCACAUCGCUAUACUUUCCCACUCAUGUCGAUUUCUCCUCUUCAACAUCAGAAGGGUUCAUCCAUUUCUUUCCACACAGGCCACUCAGGUAUUUGUUCAAUCUCUUAUCAUCUCAAUACUAGGCCACUAUAACUCACUUCUAGUUAGUCUGCCUCUGAGCACUUUUCGUCCUUUUUGUGUUGGAAUGCAUUUCCCCUAGAUGUCUUUACAGCUGAGUCAUUGGGUGCCUUCAUAUGAUGACUAAAAACCUAGCUCUUUCAGAAGUAUUUUGAUUAGCACUUCCAGGAUUAUACUCUUAUUAAAAAAAGUACUUGGGUCUCAAGAGAUGGCAGCGUAGGAGACUGUUGUUUUUUUUGGGAGCUUUGUAAACGACCAUCAAAUAUAUAACAUUCUCCCUUAAUAAGCAACUCAUCUAUUAAUGUCAGUGUAGUAGUAUGUCCCUUGAACAUUUUUGGAUGAAGCAACAUCAAACAAUGCCGCUAUCCAACAAAAAUAGAAGCAAACUGCAACGGCAAAGUGUCAACUGCGUUGCUACGCCAUUAGCCCAACAUUGCCCCAAACUUGAAGAUGAUGAACUGGAUAUGGAACUGGAAUCCAGGCUUGCUAAAGCACUUGAUCUGAUGACUAACAAAUUAAUGAUGGCUAUCAAUGAUAAACUUGCCCGUCUGGCUAAAACAGUCCUCACCCUUACCAAAGACUUUAAGAGGACCAAUGACCAACUGGAUGAGGAGGAGGCUAGGAUGCUACAUCUGGAAACUUCUAGCGAACCCUAAGCUGCUAAAAUACUAGCCUUGGAACAGAAAAUAGAUUCUCUCAUGGACCACAUAGACGAGCUUGAGAACAGAGGACGGCGAAAGAACGUGUGUAUUUUCAAUUUGCCUGAGAACAUGAAGGGAAGGAAUGCUUUACACUUUUUUGAGUGUUGGCUACCAAAGUUUCUAAAUAUGGAGACCAAGGCCCGGUUGUCAUCUGAUUUCACACAUUUCCAGAUGAACAGAAGGUGCUGGCAGCGGUAAGGUGUAAAAGAGGUGAAAGGUGACAUCACCUUUGAGGGAAGGAAAAUUUCCUUUGAUAAGCAUGGCAAGACAUUGCAAGAUGGAUCAACACACAGACGGCACUAGAGCUAAGUCUGAAUAAUGAAUCACUCACAUUGAAACCUGGUCCCUGUUAUAAUUUGGUCUGAAUUAUUAUACCGAUGAUUGGUGGUUGUUCGUUAGCAUAUAUACCACUUAAAGGUUAAAUGUCAUACUAUUAUUGACAAAUAUUUAGUCUGCAUUGUUCUAAUCAUCCACUUACAGUAGUUUACGGAUGUCUCAGUGUUAACCCUUGUCAACUGGGUUAUGCUACUUGUUUUGGAUAAUAAUAAUAAUAAUAAUUGACACUUUUAUUGAUCCCUGUAGGGAAAUUGUUUUUAUGCCUCCCACAACUUGCUCUUUUUUUCAUAGAGGAAGUUGUCUGCGAAGGGCUGCCUGCCACCUGUAGCAGCGCCCAGGGAGCUGGGGGUUAAGGGCCUUGCUCAAGGACCCACAGGCUGAGGCUGGGUUUGAACCUGCGACCUUCUGAUUACAGGCACACAGGCUUAGCCCACUGAGCCACACGCUGCCCCCAAUGUAUGUGCACUGGUAAUUGGAGCAACUUUCCUUCAGUUUAUUUUAUUUAUAUGUGCUAAAAGUGCAGGCCUCCUUACAUGUGCAACACAGAAUCACAAUCCCUUUGAGAUCUGGGGAAGGAUCCCCCACACAUUCCUUUUUUGCAUUGGUGUUCUUUACGGUUUGUGUUUAUGUUCUUUUGCUCAGUACUGGCCUGUCACAUGAUGCAUAUCAUUAUGUUAAUACAAUUAGAUGGGCAAGUCACACAAAAUACUUUGAGGAUAAGAAUAAUGUGCCUACUUGCCUUAUGGGGAAAUAGCUUAUCGUUCUAACUCACAUUAUAAUGUGAAAUACAUUGGUGCCUAUGGUUUAUGAACAUUGUCCUGCAUUUGCUGAGGCAUGGCGGGGAGACAAGCACAGGAGCAUGACAUGACAGAACCCCCAAAAGGCGCGCACUCCAGGUGCCCCUAAAGGGACCGAGGUUAGGAUGAGACAGCACCCGGAGAAACAAAAGCAACAACAUCAACGGGGCACCAGGAACAGGAACGGCACGCAGAACAGGCACAAAGAAAACAACCAUGACAACAACUGAUAAACCACAGCAAUUAUCUGCCGUCUGGACUGGAUGAAGUGUCACGUUAACCACAAAACUACUGACACUAAUUUCCCUGGAAUUGACACGACACCAGAUAAAGAGGCUGAUCAACCUACGAGACCGAACAUUCCUUCAGUCAGUAUCUCACCAUCACCACCGCUGACUGAUUCUGCUUCUUCAUCAAGCUUGUCAGAUCCUAACCCUCCAAGAAAAGCCAAAAAAAAAAACGGGG